rnacentral:rRNA from 1 species
CAGGAUGAACGCUAGCUACAGGCUUAACACAUGCAAGUCGAGGGGCAGCAUGAGAUUAGCUUGCUAAUCUUGAUGGCGACCGGCGCACGGGUGAGUAACGCGUAUCCAACCUUCCCCCUACUCAGGCAUAGCCCGGUGAAAACCGGAUUAACUCCUGAUAGUUUCACUAGAUGGCAUCUGACGGUGAAUAAAGCUCAGCGGUAAGGGAUGGGGAUGCGUCUGAUUAGCUUGUUGGCGGGUAACGGCCCACCAAGGCGACGAUCAGUAGGGGUUCUGAGAGGAAGGUCCCCCACAUUGGAACUGAGACACGGUCCAAACUCCUACGGGAGGCAGCAGUGAGGAAUAUUGGUCAAUGGGCGCGAGCCUGAACCAGCCAAGUAGCGUGCAAGGAUGACGGCCCUAUGGGUUGUAAACUGCUUUUGUGCGGGAAUAAAGUCAGGGACGUGUCCCUGUUUGCAUGUACCGCAAGAAUAAGGACCGGCUAAUUCCGUGCCAGCCGCAGC